rnacentral:rRNA from 1 species
CCUACGGGAGGCAGCAGUGGGGAAUAUUGCACAAUGGGGGAAACCCUGAUGCAGCGACGCCGCGUGAGUGAAGACGUAUUUCGGUACGUAAAGCUCUAUCAGCAGGGAAGAAAAUGACGGUACCUGACUAAGAAGCUCUGGCUAACUACGUGCCAGCAGCCGCGGUAAUACGUAGGGGGCAAGCGUUAUCUGGAUUUACUGGGUGGAAAGGGAGCGUAGACGGCAGCGCAAGUGUGGAGUGAAAUCCCAUGGCUUAACCAUGGAACUGCUUUGGAAACUGGGCAGCUAGAGUGCAGGAAAGGUAAGCGGAAUUCCUAGUGUAGCGGUGAAAUGCGUAGAUAUUAGGAAGAACACCAGUGGCGAAGGCAACUGACUGGACUGUAACUGACGUUGAGGCUCGAAAGCGUGGGGAGCAAACAGGAUUAGAUACCCCUGUAGUC